rnacentral:rRNA from 1 species
GCCUUACACAUGCAAGUCGAACGGCAGCACGGGGGCAACCCUGGUGGCGAGUGGCGAACGGGUGAGUAAUGCAUCGGAACGUGCCCAGUAGUGGGGGAUAACCAGUCGAAAGACUGGCUAAUACCGCAUACGACCUACGGGUGAAAGCGGGGGACCGUAAGGCCUCGCGCUAUUGGAGCGGCCGAUGUCUGAUUAGCUAGUUGGCGGGGUAAAAGCCCACCAAGGCGACGAUCAGUAGCUGGUCUGAGAGGACGACCAGCCACACUGGGACUGAGACACGGCCCAGACUCCUACGGGAGGCAGCAGUGGGGAAUUUUGGACAAUGGGCGCAAGCCUGAUCCAGCCAUGCCGCGUGCGGGAAGAAGGCCUUCGGGUUGUAAACCGCUUUUGGCAGGAACGAAACGGCGACUCCUAAUACGGGUCGUUAAUGACGGUACCUGCAGAAUAAGCACCGGCUAACUACGUGCCAGCAGCCGCGGUAAUACGUAGGGUGCAAGCGUUAAUCGGAAUUACUGGGCGUAAAGCGUACGCAGGCGGCUUUGCAAGACAGGUGUGAAAUCCCCGGGCCUAACCUGGGAACUGCAUUUGUGACUGCAUGGCUAGAGUCUGUCAGAGGGGGGUGGAAUUCCACGUGUAGCAGUGAAAUGCGUAGAGAUGUGGAAGAACACCGAUGGCGAAGGCAGCCCCCUGGGAUGAGACUGACGCUCAUGUACGAAAGCGUGGGGA